rnacentral:rRNA from 1 species
AUUGAACGCUGGCGGCAUGCUUUACACAUGCAAGUCGAACGGCAGCACGAAAGAGCUUGCUCUUUUGGUGGCGAGUGGCGAACGGGUGAGUAAUGCAUCGGAACGUACCGAGUAAUGGGGGAUAACUGUCCGAAAGGAUAGCUAAUACCGCAUACGCUUUGAGAAGGAAAGUGGGGGCUCUUCGGACCUCACGUUAUUCGAGCGGCCGAUGUCUGAUUAGCUAGUUGGUGGGGUAAAGGCCUACCAAGGCGACGAUCAGUAGCGGGUCUGAGAGGAUGAUCCGCCACACUGGGACUGAGACACGGCCCAGACUCCUACGGGAGGCAGCAGUGGGGAAUUUUGGGCAAUGGGCGCAAGCCUGAUCCAGCCAUGCCGCGUGUCUGAAGAAGGCCUUCGGGUUGUAAAGGACUUUUGUUAGGGAAGAAAAGGAUAGUGUUAAUACCAUUAUCUGCUGACGGUACCUAAAGAAUAAGCACCGGCUAACUACGUG